UUAAAUUAAAGUUCAAAAAAUUGAAGCACUGCAAUGUAAAUGGAAUCAAUAGGGGACAAUACUAGAAGCGCUCUUGCAAAGAAAAAACGGUGUGAAGGAAAGAAGAAAAAAAAGAAGCUAACUCGCAAGAGGAAUCGAACUUCAAUUGAAUGCAAUGGUAUCUAUAAACUUAUAGUACAUGUUUUACAUUCUCAUAGCAUUAUAGUGUUGCAAGUGCACUUAAACAGUAUGUUCUUAAAAAAAUUUGUUGAGAAACUAUUUACACAUGAAACAUGAAUUGCUUUUUGUUUUUCACAUGAGACAGGUUAAACGUAAAUUGGUUUUUGUUUUAAAUAGAUUGAAGAUCGUCUUUACGAUCUUUUGUUAAUAACCUCAAUUCUCAUCUAAGGCGAGUUUGUUUUCGUAUUUUAUGUUUAAUCAAUUUUGUUUUUUAUUUAUAUUACUAAUAUUUUUCGUUAGUAAAUUUGACUAACUUUUCCUAAUAAUAAUUUGUGAAUUUUAAGUUAGAUCACAACAAAUAUUAUAUACUGAUACACAAUAUUUUUUUAUAACUAUUUUUUUAUAACUAUUUUUAUAUAAAUAAAAUGUAAUUCUUUUUUAAGAAAGAAAAAUUUAGAUUAGGGGAUGCACAUCCCAUACAAGAUGUGAGCACAAUAUUGUGUCAACUAUAAUUGGUAAAUUGUAAUAUUUUUUAAUUAUACCAACUCUUUCUACUAUACUAUCAUCUUACAUUAACAAAAACCUAUUAUCUGAAAAUGAUAGUUCUAGUCUGUCCAUAACACAUAUAUCUAUUUUAGUUGUUAAUUCAUUUAUAAGAUAAUUGUAAUACUUGUUAUCAUAUAUCUAGAAAACGAUUCAAGAGUCGUACAUAAUAAAUAAAUCGAGGUGGUUUAAAACAUCCAAAAAAUACAUGUUUAAUAAAAAAUAAAAAAAAAGAUUCAACAUGAAAUUCUCAUUGUAACAGGACAAUAGUAAUAGUUUACAAGCAUUCCAAGAAGUAUUCAAUACAACAAAGUAACAAAGCAACAUUCCAAACAAAAAAAAUAAAAUAUUUCAAAAACUGUAACACAAUUUUUUUGUUUAGAACAAAAUCAAAUCUAAUUGAACAUUUAUGAUGAUGAUGAUUAUUAAUUGAAUGAGAUUUUUUUGAUUUGUAGACGGAGUGGUAGACAUUGAUUAAAAUUAAUACAUAAUGUAAAAUUUUAAAUUCAAAUCUAUGUCUAAUUUAAUUAUAUCAAUAUAUGUUAUUUGAGUUAAAUCUUAAUUUAGUGAGUUUUUAUUAAACUAGUUUGUAAUUAUAUUUCAAAUUGUUAUUUCACUAACACGACACGAGCGAGUGUGAAUGUAUACAUACAUAUGAUGAAUUGAUUUUAUAUUUGAAUAUGCAAGGAGGAAUUAACGGAUUAUUUUUGCAACAAACUUUUCAUGUCAAUGUAUUAAAUGCAAUGUUUAUGAGAAAUUAAGCACGUUAAUUUGUUUCUAUUUUGAUUCAUUUAGCUAUAAAAAAUUGUAGGAAUAUAUUGUAAUCAAUAAUCAUGAUGAGAAAUUUGAUUAUGGCAUCAAUAUGUUGAUGAAAAGACAUUUUGUAAAAUUGCUGGAGUGUUGCAGCUACUCCAACUAGUGUCACUUUUAUAUUGCACUUCAUUGUCUAAUUAAAUUAAUUUUUUUAAAUAUUAAUUUCAUAUUUAUUUCUUUUAAUAUCUUUUUAUAAAAUUAAUUUUUUUUAAAGUUUUUCGAAUAAAUAAAUGUCAAAAACAAUCUCAAAAUGGUUUGGAAAAAUGACAUUCAGUUCAAGUAUUAAUCAUUGACCACCAAACUAAAGUGAUUGUUAUAAAAAAUAUGGGAGGAUACAAUCUAUAUUACAUUAGUUGAAUUUUAUUAAGGUUAAUAGAAAAAUAUAAUAUUUGUCAAAAACAAUAGAAGGUAUAAUCGUGUGUGUGUGUAUAUAUGUAAUAUUAAGUUAUUGAUUUAUAAGAUGUAGUUAAUAUAAAUAAGAUUGAACUUGGAUAAUUCAAAUUCAAAUUUCUAAAAUUUAUUUAUAUAAUUAGUUAAAAUUAAAUUAUUGGAUCGUCGAAAUUUAAACUUUCAAGUCAUAGUGAUUCUAGUUAAUUAAGAUUUAACUGUUGGAUCGAGAAAAUUUAAAUUUCUAAGUCAUAGUUAGUCUAAAUAAUUAAGAUUGAAUUGUUGAAUCAUCAAAAUUUAAAUUUAUAUGACAUAUUUAGUCUAAUUAGUUAAGAUUUAAGGGUUGGAUUAUUAAAAUUUAAAUUUAUAAGUCAUUGACAUUCUAAUUAAUUAAGAUCAUCAAAAGUUAAAUUUCUAGGUCAUAGUGAGUCUAAUUAGUCAAUAUUCAAUCAUCAGAUCAUAGUGAGUCUAAUUAGUCAAAAUUAGAACCUAUCAUUGGAUCACUUAAAUUGAAUUUCUAAGUCAUAUUUAGUUCACUUAUUUAAGAUUGGACGGCUGGAUCUUUAAAAUUAAAUUUUAAAUCAUAGUUAGUCUAAUUAGUUAAGAAUAAACGUCGAUUAAUUAAAAUUAUAAUUUCUUAGUCAUAUUUAGUUUAAUUAGAUUUCGGGUUUAGGGCGUCGAAAUUAGAAUUUCUAAGUAACAGUUAAUCUAAUUAGUUAAAAUUGGACUAUUUGAUAUCAAAAUUAUAAUAUAUAAGUCAUAUUUAAUUUAAUUAAUUAAGAUUGAACGGUUGGAUAAUCGAAAUUAGAAUUUAUUAAUUAUAAUUAAUCUAAUUAGUUAAGAUUAGACCGCUCAAUCGUCAAAAUUAUAAUUUAUAUAUCAUAUUUAAUUUAAUUAGUUAACAUUGAAACACUAAAUCAUCAAUUAGAAUUUACAAAUAAUAAUUAGUAUAAUUAGUUAACUAUUCACAAUUUAGCUUAGGGGUCUUGAGUUUGAUGACCCUUGGGUUCACUGUUGAUUAAAAUAAAUUCUCUAACAAAUACAAAAAAUUAGUUGAAAAUAAAAAUAAUAAAGUAAAUAAUUUAGUAAAUAAAUACAAAAUAUUUUAAAGGAAACCAAAUUUACACAAACUAAUUACUCGAAAUUAUUAAAAAAUAAUUUAAAAAACUAUUAAAAAUUAGGUUUGAUAUACAAAUAAUUUUAAAAAAUUGUUAAUAAAUUGAAAAAUAGGACAGAUAUGCAAUUACUAAAAAAAUUUAUCUAUUAUUAUUGUAGACCACCAAUUAAUAUUAAAAAUAAUUACUAUGCAGUGCCUUUCUUACUAUUGGCUAAAACAAUUAACUUAACUUCACCAAAAAAGUAAAAUUAAAGAAUGUACCACAGAAGUCGGUACAAUGUUGAUGUUAUAACACAUUUUUGAUAAAGUUUCAUUCCUCUUUAAGCCAAUGGCGAAUCACAUACAAAAGAAAACCUAAACAAAUUCCUGCAGACCCCAAAAUAACAAUGAUUCUGACCCAUAAAGAGGAUACGAAAGCAUUUAGCAUAAAACCAUUCCAUAGCCAAUACCACAAUAUAGAGCAUAUGGACCCGACAAAUGCUCCAACGAUCACUUGGCUCACUGUAUGAAGUUUUUGUGACACCCGUAGGUAUGACUGAAAACAUAGAAUAAGGAUGAGAAACUGACACUAAACAUUAGACAUCAAGAGAUUGAAAAAUUCAUUCCAUGGCACAAGGAACAAGCUACACGCUCUAGAUAAUAAAUUAUUAUUCGGCUUAAAUAUUUUUAAUUUCUAUGUUGUUAUAGAUUAUAGAUUAAAAUGUAAUUAAUAUUCUCCUUGUAUGAGAUCAAAAGUUAGGUAGUAGCAUAUGUUCUUCAUUCUACAAGCUACGUGCCAAUGAAACGAGAAUAAAGGAUAUUAUACCAUUCAACUAAAUUGGAAAUAGUGUAUUCUUACCAUAUAAGAACCAAGUGCCAAAGCCAGGCAACUGCUGGUAAUGGUGAAUGCAUUGAUACUUAACGAUUCAACACCUGCAUGAUCAUCAAAGAAACAUAUAAAAUUAAGUCAUGCAAUUUUACUAUGUUUGUGUUUAAAAUAAAAAUGAAAUCUAACACAUUUGCAUUUCCAUAAGUGGAGAGAAGACACAUAUCUAACUAAAGAAAAUUUUCUCAGUGAAGUGAUUCUUCUAGAUGAAUAUUCUGGAAACUAUUUGGUUAUUCUCUUACCAUUGGGUUUAAGAAAACGCUUUCUGAUUUUACUUUUAAUUCAAAACAACCCCUUGUUUUCACUCAAAUGCAUGUCGUCGAAGAUUUGUACAAGAAACCAUGACAGCAACUUCUAAGUUUUGAAGACAAAAAUGAGGGCAAAUUUGCUAUUAAACAAGAAAAACGAAAACAGAAAUUGUUUUCUCAAACCAAACACACUCUAAGUUUGCUCGACUAAGCUCAACUCUAUCCACUUCAAUUGUCAACAAUAUAAGAUUGUAUAUAUUAGGAAGUGCUAGAGAAUCACUUUACAGAAUUUACAAUUACUAACAACAAACCAAUAUCAGAUCCUUUCACUAGAUCUAUGAUCUCAUAAACUUCUGAGCUUCUAGAAUGAAGAACAUAUGCUACAAAGGAAAGCACAUAAUGCAUAUUUUUGUUUUAUUUGCAUUAACUUCGUAUAAAAAUUACUUUAUCAGUUUUCUAAGGGAUGCAGAAUAGAAUGCAUUUGGACAGACAUGAGCUUAUCACAGAGCUAAGACAGUUGAUCUUCGUAAUUGAUUAUUUGAAUGGACAUAACAGAUUAACAGGUAAGAGAAAUUACUUGACAAGAUAAUAAACAUGACACCAAAGAAGAUGGA
rnacentral:lncRNA from 1 species